UUCGCCUUGUGCCAGCAGCCGCGGUAAUACGUAUGGGCGCAAGCGUUAUCCGGAAUUAUUGGGCGUAAAGAGCUCUGGAGGCGGUUUGUCGCGUCUGCUGUGAAAACCCGAGGCUCAACCUCGGGCCUGCAGUGGGUACGGGCAGACUAGAGUGCGGUAGGGGAGAUUGGAACUCCUGGUGUAGCGGUGGAAUGCGCAGAUAUCAGGAAGAACACCGAUGGCGAAGGCAGAUCUCUGGGCCGUAACUGACGCUGAGGAGCGAAAGGGUGGGGAGCAAACAGGCUUAGAUACCCUGGUAGUCCACCCCGUAAACGUUGGGAACUAGUUGUGGGGUCCAUUCCACGGAUUCCGUGACGCAGCUAACGCAUUAAGUUCCCCGCCUGGGGAGUACGGCCGCAAGGCUAAAACUCAAAGGAUUGACGGGGACCCGCACAAGCGGCGGAGCAUGCGGAUUAUUUCGAUGCAACGCGAAGAACCUUACCAAGGCUUGACAUAUAGAGGAACCGUCUGGAACAGUCGCCUCGCAAGGUCUCUAUACAGUUGGUGCAUGUUUGUCGUCAGCUCGUGUCGUGAGAUGUUGGUUAAGGUCCCGCAACGAGCGGCAACCCUCGUUCUAUGUUGCCAGCACGUAUUUGGUGGGAACUCAUGGGAUACUGGCGGGGGCUCAACUCGGAGGAAGUUGGGAUUGACGUCAAAUCAUCAUGCCCUUUAGGUCUGGGCUUCACGCAUUGCUACAUGGCCGGUACAAGGGCUGCAUACGUAAGUGGAAGCGAUUCUAAAAAGCCGGUCCAGUUCGGAUUGAGUCUUGCAACUCGAAC
rnacentral:rRNA from 1 species